rnacentral:rRNA from 1 species
AUUGAACGCUGGCGGCAGGCCUAACACAUGCAAGUCGAGCGAGCGGCGGACGGGAGAGUAAUGUAUGGGGAUCUGCCCGAUAGAGGGGGUUAACUACUGGAAACGGUGGCUAAUACCGCAUACUAUCGGUUGAACCCAUAGGGGAUUAGCUAGUAGGAGGGGUAAAGGCUCACCUAGGCGACGAUAUCUAGCUGGUCUGAGAGGAUGAUCAGCCACACUGGGACUGAGACACGGCCCAGACUCCUACGGGAGGCAGCAGUGGGGAAUAUUGGACAAUGGGCGCAAGCCUGAUGCAGCCAUGCCGCGUGUAUGAAGAAGGCCUUAGGGUGGUAAAGUACUUUCAUCGGGGAUGCGGUACCCAAAGAAGAAGCACCGGCUAACUCCGUGCCAGCAGCCGCGGUAAUAC